GGGGCGGUGUUGGUGCUGCGCGUGAACGGUCCCUCUCCCAGGCCCCAGAAGCCGGACGCAUAACGGAGAGCGGGAGGGAACGUGGUGCGAUACGGGGGAUGUGCGACCUGUCUGUGUAUGGACAGACGGCCAGCAUGGAGGGCGCCGAGACCAGAGUCGACGUAGGCACGGGUGGCGACAUGAACGGUGCGGCGUGGGGCGUGGCCGCCCGCUACCGCCAGCUUCUGCAACAGCAGCAUCAGCAGUGCCAGCGCCGCGCUGACGACGAGGGUGCCCGCCUCCGAGCCCGGCUCAGCUGACUCGCGGGCACCCACGCCGCAGCAGAGGACCGAGGCGGAGGCGAAUGAGGACUCGUCCUCCGACCAGGAUGUCAUGGAACAGCUGAAGCAGCAGGUGGCGAACGUGGCUCAAGGAAAUGCAAAGGACACCAGCGACGCCGAGCCGCCAGACUACCGCACUCCGGAGUCGGCGCAGGCUCGGGCGGCGGCCGAGGCGUUCCAGCGGCACCCGUUGUCGCCGCAGUCGCUGCUGGCCGCCUC